rnacentral:rRNA from 1 species
AUUGAACGCUGGCGGCAUGCUUUACACAUGCAAGUCGAACGGUAACAGGCCUUCGGGUGCUGACGAGUGGCGAACGGGUGAGUAAUGCAUCGGAACGUGCCCAGAGGUGGGGGAUAACGCAGCGAAAGCUGUGCUAAUACCGCAUGUGAUCUGAGGAUGAAAGCGGGGGACCAGGCAGCAAUGUUUGGCCUCGCGCCUUUGGAGCGGCCGAUGUCAGAUUAGGUAGUUGGUGGGGUAAAGGCCUACCAAGCCGACGAUCUGUAGCUGGUCUGAGAGGACGACCAGCCACACUGGGACUGAGACACGGCCCAAACUCCUACGGGAGGCAGCAGUGGGGAAUUUUGGACAAUGGGCGCAAGCCUGAUCCAGCAAUGCCGCGUGCGGGAAGAAGGCCUUCGGGUUGUAAACCGCUUUUGUACGGAACGAAAAGGCUCUGGCUAAUACCUGGGGCUGAUGACGGUACCGUAAGAAUAAGCACCGGCUAACUACGUG